rnacentral:rRNA from 2 species
UUAAGUGACGAUAGCCUAGGAGAUACACCUGUUCCCAUGCCGAACACAGAAGUUAAGCCCUAGAACGCCGGAAGUAGUUGGGGGUUGCCCCCUGUGAGAUAUGGAAGUCGCUUAGC